AAUUUGGCUCUUCUGAGAGCCAAACAACUUUUUAAAUAAUUCAUAU
rfam:Caenorhabditis japonica strain DF5081 Contig17994.2, whole genome shotgun sequence.